AGCGCCGCCAUGUUGUACGGCAGCCGCAGCGCACUGUCGGCAGGCCCGGUGCGCCUCAGCGAUCCACCGCAGCGCCACGCGGAGACGUUUUGGGAAGAGCUGUGGGAACAAACGCACGCGACAAAGGAGCUGCAGAGGGCAGAGUGCAGGAAUUUGGAGGGACAAGUCUGCAGCCACCAUGAGCACUGGAACCAGCAUGGGCUCCAAUUUGCAGAGUUGAAGUGGAAGCGGUAAAUCGUAGAUCUCAGCAGCUGAGGUUGAAAUGGAUUAUCGUGUGGACCACGGGCAGCAUUUAGACCAGAUGAUCUGAGAGAGAUACGACUGAAUCAGCCAGCAGGGGCUCUACAUGCUUGGCCUCAGCUGGAAAUUGCUUUACACAGACUUUCAACUCGGACGCUGGUGUCUGCUCAGCAACGUUGGCAAGAGGACUUGCUGUUCUCAGGAGAGUCCAUGAUGAGCAGAUCAGGACACAGCUCCUAGACCUGAGAGACCUGAUAAAGCAUCUUUCAGAAAAGGACAUAUGUGUUUUAGCACCAUUUGUAUUCUCAUACAUGUAGGCUAUGCCCAAGUGAAACCUAGGGCAUAGAUUCAAAAGGGGAAAAAAUCCAAUAAAUGGUUAUUUUGUUUGGGUGGUGCCAAACACAUGGCUUAACUGAUUUUUCACUAAAUUUGCUAAGUUAAAACAAUCAUUUUGUGAACUCUGUGGAACUCUUGCACUGUCCAGUGUGUUACCACAGCAACUGUUCAUAGGUUGAACACAGCUCAUCCUGUAUGCGUUACAGGGCAUUAUCUCAUUCCACUGUGAGCUCCUGGAGGGCAGGGCCGGUAACGUAUUUAUCUGUGUGUCUUCAGGUCUCCACACACAGUUGAUGCUCCAUGGAAGUUUGUAGAACAGAAUUGAUAGUGUAGGGAUCCACAGAGUUUCUGCUUUCCUUUCUGGAAAUUGGGUGAGUCCAAGGAGUGGAGGGGAGGAUUUAGAAACAUAAAACUAUGGAGUAGGAGGAAUCUCAAAGAUCACACAGUUCAACACCCUUAUUUUACAGAUGAGGAAAGUGAGGUCCAGAGAGGGCAGUGAUUUGGUCAAGGUCACUGAGUUGGUGGCAGAGCCAGAAUAGAGAUGACUUAGCAUUUACCAGAAGCUGCUACAGGCUGGAAAUGUGCUAGACCUGCGCUGUCCAAUAUGGUAGUAUGUUAGAGUUCUCCAGAGAAACAGAAUCUCUCUCUCUCUCUCUCUCUCUCUCUCUAUCUAUCUAUUCUGGAAGCCGGAGACCCAGCAAAGCUGGUGGUGUAAUUCCGUCCUAGUUCCAGGAUCUGACAGCCAGGGGAGCUGAUGGUGUCAAUCCCGUAAGACGUCCCAACUCAGCAGUAAAGCUGGAAAAAGGAGGCAAAUUUCUCCUUCCUCUGUCUUUUGCUCUAUUCCGGCCCUCGACAGAUUGGACGAUGUCCACCCCCACUGCACCCAGCUUAGGAGGGUAGUGUGCUUUACUGAGAGCACUGAUUCAAAUGUGAGUCUCACCCAGGCUCGCUUUCACCGACACGCCCAGAAGCAGUGCUUAAUCUAGGCACCCAGUGGCCAGUCAAGCUGACACAUAAAAUUAUCUCUUGCAGUUAGCUGCCAGCCUCGCAGGGAUGGGGAGCACUUGAAACGCGGCAAGAGAGAGGGAGAGUGGCUGCUAGAAAAUUUAAAGUGACGUGCAAGUGUGGCUUCGUUAUAUUUCUGUUGGAUAGCGUUGUGCCAGACACUCGACAUAGGUUGUUUCACCUAAUCCUACAACAGCUAUCUCCAUGUUACUCUCUCCAGUUUACAGAUGAGGAAACUAAGAAUGAGAGGAGUUAAAGUAUUGGCAGAAAGUCAAACCACAAGAAAAUGGCAGACUCAAGAUGAUACGGGUCUGGCUGACUUGGCUGUCUGUGCUCUUUCUGGGGAGUCUUCUGGCCCCAGCUUUCCCGAUACUGCCUCAGCAUCCAAAUGUACUUCAGAUAUGCAAGAACAAACUGUAGAUUGUAAUACAGAGGGUCAUCAUUCUUUCAUUUAUCUUCACUGACUACUUCAUAGGGGAAAAAUGGGAGAGUUCUCUUGGCUGACCAUUGAAAAAUUUAAAGUGGCUGACCUUCAGGUUCUUGGGUUCUGUUCUAUAUGCGUCUCCUUCUAAAAACUGAAAACCAAGCAGAUAUAAUUAAUUUAUCUCAGGUAGUUUUUUAUAUUUUUAUUUGCUUCAAUAUUCAAUGCUUUAAAAAAAAUUGUUUCUAACCCAACA